rnacentral:rRNA from 1 species
GUCGAGCGAACGGACGAGAAGCUUGCUUCUCUGAUGUUAGCGGCGGACGGGUGAGUAACACGUGGAUAACCUACCUAUAAGACUGGGAUAACUUCGGGAAACCGGAGCUAUACCGGAUAAUAUUUUGAACCGCAUGGUUCAAAAGUGAAAGACGGUCUUGCUGUCACUUAUAGAUGGAUCCGCGCUGCAUUAGCUAGUUGGUAAGGUAACGGCUUACCAAGGCAACGAUGCAUAGCCGACCUGAGAGGGUGAUCGGCCACACUGGAACUGAGACACGGUCCAGACUCCUACGGGAGGCAGCAGUAGGGAAUCUUCCGCAAUGGGCGAAAGCCUGACGGAGCAACGCCGCGUGAGUGAUGAAGGUCUUCGGAUCGUAAAACUCUGUUAUUAGGGAGGAACAUAUGUGUAAGUAACUGUGCACAUCUUGACGGUACCUAAUCAGAAAGCCACGGCUAACUACGUGCCAGCAGCCGCGGUAAUACGUAGGUGGCAAGCGUUAUCCGGAAUUAUUGGGCGUAAAGCGCGCGUAGGCGGUUUUUUAAGUCUGAUGUGAAAGCCCACGGCUCAACCGUGGAGGGUCAUUGGAAACUGGAAAACUUGAGUGCAGAAGAGGAAAGUGGAAUUCCAUGUGUAGCGGUGAAAUGCGCAGAGAUAUGGAGGAACACCAGUGGCGAAGGCGACUUUCUGGUCUGUAA